rnacentral:rRNA from 1 species
UACGGAGGGGGCUAGCGUUGUUCGGAAUUACUGGGCGUAAAGCGCACGUAGGCGGCUUUGUAAGUUAGAGGUGAAAGCCCGGGGCUCAACUCCGGAAUUGCCUUUAAGACUGCAUCGCUAGAAUUGUGGAGAGGUAAGUGGAAUUCCGAGUGUAGAGGUGAAAUUCGUAGAUAUUCGGAAGAACACCAGUGGCGAAGGCGACUUACUGGACACAUAUUGA